AAGCGGUAAAAAGACUGGACCAGAACAUGGAUAGGGUCAGAGGUCAGGUUAUACGGUAAAGAGACUGGACCAGAACAUGGACAAGGUCAGAGGUCAGGUUAAACGGUAAAAAGACUGGAUCAGAACAUGGAUAGGGUCAGAGGUCAGAGGUCAGGUUAUACAGUAAAGAGACUGGACCAGAACAUGGAUGGGGUCAGAGGUCAGGUUAUACGGUAAAGAGACUGGACCAGAACAUGGACAAGGUCAGAGGUCAGGUUAAACGGUAAAAAGACUGGAUCAGAACAUGGAUAGGGUCAGAGGUCAGAGGUCAGGUUAUACAGUAAAGAGACUGGACCAGAACAUGGACAAGGUCAGAGGUCAGAAGUCAGGUUAUACAGUAAAGAGACUGGACCAGAACAUGGAUAGGGUCAGAGGUCAGAGGUCAGGUUAUACAGUAAAGAGACUGGACCAGAACACGGAUAGGGUCAGAGGUCAGAGGUCAGGUUAUACAGUAAAGAGACUGGACCAGAACAUGGACAAGGUCAGAGGUCAGGUUAAACGGUAAAAAGACUGGACCAGAACAUGGAUAGGGUCAGAGGUCAGGUUAUACGGUAAAGAGACUGGACCAGAACAUGGACAAGGUCAGAGGUCAGGUUAAACGGUAAAAAGACUGGACCAGAACAUGGAUAGGGUCAGAGGUCAGGUUAUACAGUAAAGAGACUGGACCAGAACAUGGAUAGGGUCAGAGGUCAGAGGUCAGGUUAUACAGUAAAGAGACUGGACCAGAACAUGGACAAGGUCAGAGGUCAGGUUAAACGGUAAAAAGACUGGAACCAGAACAUGGAUAGGGUCAGAGGUCAGAGGUCAGGUUAUACAGUAAGGAGACUGGACCAGAACCAGA